AAACACCUACACCUACCCUACCUAGCUUCUACUUUUACAAUUAAAUAAAAGAAACUAAAUCCUAUUCACCUAGCUACCAACUCUCCAACUCUCGGUACUUCUCAUCUCAUCACCUAAAUAACUUUUGAUUUCAUAAAAAAAAAAAAAAAACUAAAGAAAGGCAUUAAAUGAAUUAAGCCUCUGCACCAAGUCCCAUCAUCACAAAUUCUCAAAUUAAAAUGAAAAAAAAAGAAACCUAACUAAUCUAAUUGAAACCGGCGGUAUUGAGUGAAGAAAAAAAAAGAUUAAGAUUAUCUUCCAACAUGCACACCAUGGAGUCAACAUCAACGGACCCACACUCAUCAAAUCUACCUCUUCAUUCAUCAUUCUUCAAAUAAGCAAAAGAAAUGCAUUGCUACAAUAAAUGGAUGCCAAUGUCCCAUCACCACGUACUAGCACCUAGUCUAAUUUUACUCAUAAAAACAAAAAGAAAAGCCACUUUCA
rnacentral:lncRNA from 1 species